CAGGCCUAACAAUGCAAGUCGAGCGCGAAAGUUCUUCGGAAUGAGUAAAGCGGCGGACGGUGAGUAACGCGUGGGAAUCUGCCCAGUAGUGGGGGACAACAGCCGGAAAGGCUGCUAAUACCGCAUACGCCCUACGGGGGAAAGGGGGGGAUCUUCGGCCUCUCGCUACUGGAUGAGCCCGCGUCGGAUUAGCUAGGGGGUAGGGUAAGGCCUACCAAGGCGACGAUCCGUAACUGGUCUGAGAGGAUGAUCAGUCCACUGGAACUGAGACACGGUCCAGACUCCUACGGGAGGCAGCAGUGGGGAUAUUGGACAAUGGGCGCAAGCCUGAUCCAGCCAUGCCGCGUGUGUGAAAAGGCCUUAGGGUUGUAAAGCACUUUCAGUGGGGAGAAAGGUUUGUCACUAAUACGUGACGAAAUUGAUGUUACCCACAGAAGAAGCACCGGCUAACUCGUGCCAGCAGCCGCGG
rnacentral:rRNA from 1 species